rnacentral:rRNA from 1 species
UACGAAGGGUGCAAACGUUGCUCGGAAUCAUUGGGCGUAAAGCGCACGUAGGCGGCUUGCCAAGUCGGACGUGAAAUCCCUCAGCUCAACUGAGGACGUGCAUCCGAAACUGGCGAGCUUGAGUACUGAAGAGGAUCGCGGAAUUCCCGGUGUAGAGGUGAAAUUCGUAGAUAUGACACAGAACACCAAUUGCGAAGGCAGCUCGCUAAACUGUAACUGACGCUGAGGCACGAAAGCGUGGGUAGCAAACAGG